rnacentral:lncRNA from 1 species
GGCACCAAUUGAGUUAAUAUGUAGUACAAUUUAGCUAAAAUACUGUAUCACAUGUGUUUUCCCCCUAGGUAUCUCAUUCCAGCCCUGGUUCUCCUGGCAGUCCUUCCUUUUACCUGUUACGUUGGUCUCUUCAUUUCACACCGAUCCUUGCAUAUCCAUGCCGAUUGGUUCCUAAAGUCUCACAAAGCAGAGCUGUGGCUCAUCCGAAUUCUGGUGCAAAAUGGGAUUGCACUAUACGCGACAUGGACCACAAUUGCCACUCUGCUGAAUUUUACUGUGGUGCUGAUCUUCAGUGGGAACGUGUCUAAAAAGAUUGCAACUGCAACCUCUCUGGCCAUCCUUACCUUUGAACUGGUAAUAUGGUUUUCUCUGGAAAACUUUGUGCUUGACAAGUAUGUGCGGUAUAAUCUCACUGUCUACCCAGUGGUCAUUGUAGCACUGACCGGCAUUGUGUGGAAGAACUACUCCCCUUCAUCUCCAACUGACAACAGUAUGUUUACAGUUGUGUUGCUGGCGGUGGCUUGUGUUACCUUUGCUGUUCGGCUGGGAAUAGUCAUAUGGAGACAUUGUAGAAGGCCUCUAAACCUAUCAGAUUCUCCAUCCAUGACACUGUAAAGUAUAUUUCCAAAGUGAAGACCUUAAGGGGGAGAUUUUCAAAGCCAUGAAUGGGAAUCAGGCACCCAACAGCCAUUGACUCUGUAUCCCAACACCCACUCCCCUGGUGCCUUGAAAAUCUCUGAAAUGUGGAACAGUGAACAACACAAAGAGGGUAAUAAGGUGGUUAUAGUGAUUUCGUAUAAGCUUUCAGGGUCUCUUUCUUUUUCAGGAUCUCUCUUUCCUUCCACUCUGAUCAAUUACACUUAUCCUACCACCUUUAAUUUGACCGCUAUGUGGUUUAUUAAAUGGUGUUUUAAGUUUACACCAGAGAGGUAGAUGAACAGAUUCCUCUGACAAAGCCUAAUGCACUUCUGGAUAAAUGGACAGUAGCACUCAGGUACGUCCAGCCUGAGGCAGGCCCAUGAACACAGUUGCCACACUUGCACUUUUGCACAGAGACGUUAUCUUUUCCUGUUUAAAAAAUGGCUGUAAAUAAGCAACCCCUCUCUGGUGACUGAGAUGCAUAAACCAAUGGCUCUCUCGCUUCACUGGCCCAGACCUUUGGCCUGGUUUUUGUCAGUGCUGAUCCUCUGCAAGUCCCAUUGAAGUCAGUGAGUGCUCAGCACCUCUAAAAAUCAGGCCAUUGUGCCCCUUUCUAGCUCUCUCCACCAUGGCAAGAGCAAAGUUGCAGUAGUGCGAUAUUUUUAUUUUUGCAGCAUCUGUUUUAACAUUCUGCAUCAAGUGUGUUGGAGUGGUUACAACUACUGGUUAAUUAUUGUUACUCACACCUUCUUGUCAGCUGUUGGAAAUGGGCCAUCCUGAUUAUCACCACAAAAGUUUUUUUUCUCCUGCUGAUAAUAGCCCACCUUAAUUGAUUAGUCUCAUUAUAGUUGGUAUGGCAACACCCAUUUUUUCAUGUUCUCUGUGUAUAUAUAUCUUUCUACUGUAUUUUCCACUGCAUGCAUCUGAUGAAGUGGGUUUUAGCCCACAAAAGCUUAUGCUCAAAUAAAUGUGUUAGUCUCUAAGGUGCCA